UUAAGUUCAGCGGGUAUUCCUACCUGAUCCGAGGUCAACAUUCAGUGGUUUGGGGGGUUUAACGGCCGGAGCACGUCACCAGUCCCGGGCGAGAUAUCGCUACUGCGCCCGAACCGAUGGCGAGCCCGCCACUGAUUUUCAGGGCCUACGCUGGACGCGUAGAGCCCCAACACCAAGCAGUGCUUGAGGGUUGAAAUGAC
rnacentral:misc_RNA from 1 species